CACGGGUGAGUAACGCGUAUGCAACCUGCCUACAACAGGGGGAUAACCCGUUGAAAGACGGACUAAUACCCCAUAACACAGGGGUCCCGCAUGGGAAUAUUUGUUAAAGAUUUAUCGGUUGUAGAUGGGCAUGCGUUCCAUUAGCUUGUUGGUGAGGUAACGGCUCACCAAGGCAACGAUGGAUAGGGGAACUGAGAGGUUUAUCCCCCACACUGGUACUGAGACACGGACCAGACUCCUACGGGAGGCAGCAGUGAGGAAUAUUGGUCAAUGGACGCAAGUCUGAACCAGCCAUGCCGCGUGCAGGAAGACGGCCCUAUGGGUUGUAAACUGCUUUUGUCAGGGAAUAAACCCCCGCUCGUGAGCGGGGCUGAAGGUACCUGAAGAAUAAGCAUCGGCUAACUCCGUGCCAGCAGCCGCGGUAAUACGGAGGAUCCGAGCGUUAUCCGGAUUUAUUGGGUUUAAAGGGUGCGCAGGCGGGAUGUUAAGUCGGCGGUGAAAUUUUGCAGCUCAACUGUAAAAGUGCCUUCGAUACUGGCUUUCUUGAGUGUGGAUGAAGUAGGCGGAAUUUGUGGUGUAGCGGUGAAAUGCUUAGAUAUCACGAGGAACUCCGAUUGCGCAGGCAGCUUACUAAACCACUACUGACGCUCAUGCACGAAGGCGUGGGGAUCAAACA
rnacentral:rRNA from 1 species